rnacentral:rRNA from 1 species
CUACAGGAUCCCUAUAGCGGCGAGCGAAGCGGGAAGAGCUCAAAUUUGUAAUCUGGCGCUUUCAGCGUCCGAGUUGUAAUCUCUAGAAAUGUUUUCCGCGUUGCACCGCACACAAGUCUGUUGGAAUACAGCGGCACAGUGGUGAGACCCCCGUUCAUGGUGCGGAUGCGCAAUGCUUUGUGAUACAUUUUCGAAGAGUCGAGUUGUUUGGGAAUGCAGCUCAAAUUGGGUGGUAAAUUCCAUCUAAAGCUAAAUAUUGGCGAGAGACCGAUAGCGAACAAGUACCGUGAGGGAAAGAUGAAAAGCACUUUGGAAAGAGAGUUAACAGUACGUGAAAUUGUUGGAAGGGAAACGCUUGAAGUCAGACUUGCUGUUCGGAGUUCAGCCGCAAGGUGUACUCUCCGAGUUGCAGGCCAGCAUCAGUUUUUCGGGGUGGAAAAUCACGGUUUGAAGGUAGCAGUUUCGGCUGUGUUAUAGCUUUCCGUUGGAUACAUCCUGGGGGACUGAGGAACGCAGUGUGCUUUUAGCAGGGGUUUCGACCUCUUCACACUUAGGAUGCUGGUGGAAUGGCUUUAAACGACCCGUCUUGAA